UACGAAGGGGGCUAGCGUUGCUCGGAAUCACUGGGCGUAAAGCGCACGUAGGCGGAUAUUUAAGUCGGUGGUGAAAUCCUGGAGCUCAACUCCAGAACUGCCUCCGAUACUGAAUGUCUUCGAGUCCGGGAGAGGUGAGUGGAACUGCGAGUGUAGAGGUGAAAUUCGUAGAGAUUGGGUGGAACACCAGUGGCGAAGGCGCCUGCCUGGCUGAUUACUGACGCUGAGACUCGAAAGCAUGGGGAGCAAACAGG
rnacentral:rRNA from 1 species